rnacentral:rRNA from 1 species
CCUACGGGAGGCAGCAGUGGGGAAUAUUGGGCAAUGGGCGCAAGCCUGACCCAGCAACGCCGCGUGAAGGAAGAAGGCUUUCGGGUUGUAAACUUCUUUUCUGAGGGACGAAGAAAGUAACGGUACCUCAGGAAUAAGCCACGGCUAACUACGUGCCAGCAGCCGCGGUAAUACGUAGGUGGCAAGCGUUAUCCGGAUUUAGUGGGUGUAAAGGGCGUGUAGGCGGGAAAGCAAGUCAGAUGUGAAAACUCAGGGCUCAACCCUGCGCGUGCAAUUGAAACUGUUUUUCUUGAGUGCUGGAGAGGCAAGCGGAAUUACGUGUGUAGCGGUGAAAUGCGUAGAUAUACGGAAGAACACCAGUGGCGAAGGCGGAUUGCUGGACAGUAACUGACGCUGAGGCGCGAAAGCGUGGGGAGCAAACAGGAUUAGAUACCCCAGUAGUC